rnacentral:rRNA from 1 species
CCUACGGGUGGCUGCAGUCGAGAAUCUUCGGCAAUGAGCGAAAGCUUGACCGAGCGAUGCCGCGUGUGGGAUGAAGGCCCUCGGGUUGUAAACCACUGUCGUAGGGGAGGAAGGCUCCGUGAAGAACGGAGUUUGACCUAUCCUAGGAGGAAGUACGGGCUAAGUACGUGCCAGCAGCCGCGGUAAUACGUACCGUACGAACGUUAUUCGGAAUUACUGGGCUUAAAGGGUUUGUAGGCGGCCUUGUAAGUCAGGUGUGAAAGCCCUCGGCUCAA